AUUGAACGCUGGCGGCAGGCUUAACACAUGCAAGUCGAGCGAGCGGCGGACGGGUGAGUAAUGUAUGGGAAACUGCCUGAUGGAGGGGGAUAACUACUGGACACGGUAGCUAAUACCGCAUACCAUCAGAUGUGCCCAGAGGGGAUUAGCUAGUCGGUGGGGUAAAGGCUCACCUAGGCGACGAUCCCUAGCUGGUAUGAGAGGAUGACCAGCCACACUGGAACUGAUACACGUGCCAGAAUCCUACGGGAUGCAGCAGGGGGGAAUAUUGCACAAUGGGCGCAAUCCUGAUGCAGCUAGGCCGCGUGUAUGAAGAAGGCCUUCGGGUUGUAAAGUACUUUCAGCGGGGAGGCGUUACCCGCAGAAGAAGCACCGGCUAACUCCGUGCCAGCCGCCGCGGUAAUUC
rnacentral:rRNA from 1 species